rnacentral:rRNA from 1 species
CCUACGGGAGGCAGCAGUGAGGAAUAUUGGUCAAUGGGCGGGAGCCUGAACCAGCCAAGUCGCGUGAGGGAAGACGGUCCUAUGGAUUGUAAACCUCUUUAGGCGGGGAGCAAUGCCGGGCACGCGUGCCCGGAGGGAGAGUACCCGCAGAAUAAGCAUCGGCUAACUCCGUGCCAGCAGCCGCGGUAAUACGGGGGAUGCGAGCGUUAUCCGGAUGUAUUGGGUUUAAGGGGUGCGUAGGCGGAUUUUAAAGUCAGCGGUAAAAUGUCCGGGCUCAACCCGGGCCGGCCGUUGAAACUGGGGAUCUUGAGUGGGCGAGAAGUAUGCAGAAUGCGUGGUGUAGCGGUGAAAUGCAUAGAUAUCACGCAGAACUCCGAUUGCGAAGGCAGCAUACCGGCGCCCGACUGACGCUGAGGCACGAAAGCGUGGGGAGCGAACAGGAUUAGAUACCCGUGUAGUC